GCACUCUGUGCUUGUCUCUUGCGAAAGACAAGCACGCUCUGACACCCGCACCUUUCUCCUUAUAAGGUUGAUGAUUAAGCGAAUAUCGGCUCUCGAGGGAGUUGAAUGAGAUCAUCACAUUUAUUGCUUGUUGCUAGAGGCAGACAUGCUCUCAUACCCGCUUACACAGGGCUCGCGGGAUUUGUGUGCAGUAGCCAGCUGCGCUUUCAGCUCUUGAGGGAGUUGAAUGCAAUCGUCACAUUCAGUGCUUAUUUCUUGCGAUGGACUGGCGUGCUCUCGUAGCCGCUUGCACAAAGCUCGCGGGCUGUGUGUGUGUGGUCAGAGCAGCGCGUCCAGCUCGUGAGGGAACUGGAUGUGCUCAUCACGAUGCAUUUGCAGAGGAGAGAGACAGCCCCAGGCCAGUGUUGCCACCUUGUGGACAACAAUUCAAGGCAUAUGUGUGAUCUGCACCUGCUUCUCCCUUGGGCUGGAUGAAGAUGUUUGCCUGGCCGGAAGAAAAAGAAAAGCUUGCAGCGGCAUGAGUCAUGACUGUCAUGUUAGCCUAAAGGGACAAAACGUCAUCGGGUGACUGCUGCCAACUUUGAGGGACAAAUUCCACAAGGAUGUCUGGUCCCACCUACACCAACUUACACACACAACAGGGAGAUGGGUGCAGAGAUACUUCAAGGGGUCAUUCACACUUCAUAGCACUGCAAGUACUUACAUGACCUCCCAGUGUAGCACUGGAACUAAAUUACACAACACAAAUUAUGGUAGGCUAGAUACCACCCAUCUCCUAUACACAAACAUACAGACAUACAAACAUAUACAACACUUUUUUGCUACUAUUACCACACAACAUCCAUACCUGGCAUUCAUAAGAAUAUCCAGGUCUAAAUUACUCACAGCAUUCAAAUCUAUAACACAUUAUGUACUUCAUACAAACAGGUCAAAGGAAAUUAUUUUCGUAAUUUCAUUUCAAUUAUGGCAAACAUUGCUGCAACUUUAAAGUCUUGGGAAAUGUUAUGGUCUUACGAACUUAUUGUAUGUAAGGACUGUAAUGUGCAUAGGACUUGCAUGGCUACAGUCACAUAUCAAUUGAUUUGAUCUACAAACUCUAAACUGAAACCUAUUUCACAAUGUAACUGGUCUCUUAGGACAAAAUAUGUAUGUCCAAUCACUGGACAUGUAUGUCCAAUCCCUGGCAUUGGCAACUAGGGGACCCAGAUAUAUGAGGUUGAUUGCUUUGAUAGUUUAAAUAAGUAACAUGACCUUCCGGCCUUGUUCAUAACAACUUUAUAUGAAAUGUGUCCAGGUCCUCCACAUACUUAAAGAUGAAUAAAAAGACAUACAUUAUUUCUUUGGGCAUUUUAUAUUUGUUAUUUUACAAAAAGAAUUCAAUGUAAAAUAUUGCACAAAUAUACACUACUAGCCAAAAGGUAACAGCAAAAGGUGGUUACAGCAUAUGUCUAAUGAUAAUACAAAUUUAUCUAAAUAGAUAGUUCUAUCAAUUAUACCAUUUCCAAAUGAACUGCAUUAUCAAAUGUGACUUUAGCCUGCACAUCAGAUGCACAACAAAAGCUACACAACAGAUCUGAAAUCUGUUUCUGUGAAUUUCAUUCUCGAAUUGACUUGAUUAAAACCUUAGGUCUGCAUUAAUUAUUUACAAUUAAAACAAUUAAUAUAGGCAAUUUUAUGAUGGUAAUUAUGAAACUGUGUAUUUCUGGGUGUAAUUAUAUGAUACAUUUUAAUUAUACACACCGCAGUAAACAUACCAGUUAUAUUGAUUUUGCUACUUCCCUUUUAUUCAUCCAGACAUAGUGUCUAAAUCCAAAAUUACAUUGCAUAUUGGUAGUAAACAAUCUGGCAACCAAAUGAGACCUGUUCACUAAUUUUUUGACUCUGAAGAAUAGAGACCACUCGCAAUAUUGACAUAAUUGUUUUGCUUAUCUUAUAACCCUCUUCUCAUUCCGUUACAUCACCAAAGUCAUCAGCAUUCAGUUAUUGUAUGGUCACUAUUGUAUGGGGUUGUUUAGAUGUCUUGCACGCAUUGGAGCAUCGUCAGUGAAAUAAUUCCUUCACUUAUGGAAAUCUGACAGAUUCUGCAAAAUACACCUUCUACCUGAAGCUGAUUGAAGACUUCUUAGUCAGUCAUCCUCCUGGGGAGGAUGGCACUUGACACAGAUGUUUCCCAGAAUGGAAGGACACUUUCAACUCAUGCUUGAUCUACUCAACCGACCUGAUACAAGUAAUUGUACAGACUGACUACCACCACUGUCAGUGCAGGUGGAAACGCACCUGACCAAAAGACUGCAGCACCUUUAUUCAAAGAGCGUGUGUUUCACUGAUGUGAAUUCUGCAGUGCUUUCAUCAACCUGUCUUAACGUUAUUUCAGGUGACCACCCUACUCCUGCACUCAUCAACUAAUGUUGCCUGCCCUGCAAAGACUUUGACAGUAGACAUAAUGCAAAAAUCAUCUAAUUAUGACCCCUUAAGGACUGCUCUAGGUUUAAAGAUUGAAUCAAAGAUUGAAUCAAAUGCAACAAUUUAUUUGUCAGGUAAAAUGUAUCACACGAAUUACGCAAACAAUGAAAAUCCAAUUCAGAAUUAAAUUUAGUUCCAAUUCAGAUAAAUACCUAACAUCAGUUGCUCCAAGAUUAAUCUAAGACUAAGAGAUGGAUACCUGACUAAAGGGAGACACACAGCAGCAUGUGAGUUCUAGUGUAGAGCUCCAGAGAUUCACAUACGAUAUUUGGGGUUUCUUGCUACAGAAAAAACCCAAAGUAGUGUUUUGUCACCUCGCAUACAUAUCCAGACCAGAACAAAUACAUCUUCCAAUCAGUUGUAAAAACAUAAAGACCUUUUGGUUUCUCAGAAGAUCUCAUGACCCAGGGUCACAUCUGGCUGGAGAUUCUCACUCGUCCCUAAGGGGAAAACACACCCCUCAGCAGCAAAACACAAUUCUACAAAAGUUUUUGAUCUUCCUCAUAAUAUAAGUGACUGCUGUGAAAUUGAGACCAUUUUACCAAUCGCACAAAGACGCGGUACUUUGACGGCACACGUGACAGUCAUGAGACAUCAGCGUCGGUGCCGUCUCA